CAUUUUCUGACAUUUUAUAGACCAACCAACUAAUCAAUUAAUGGAGAAAAUAAUCAACAGAUUAGUCAACAAUGAAAAUAAUCGUUAGUUGCAGCCCUAACGUGAAUAAUUUGAUAUUUUUUGUUCUCGUUCAAAAACAUUCUCAACCAACCCUGCGAGAUAAAGUCCAAUGUUUGUCAUCUUGUGUUUUUUCUCAUUGUCAAACUGAGCUUUAAUAAAAUAAUAAAAUGUGAUA